GCAGGGAAAUCAGAAGUUCAAGUCAUGGUCAGUUACCUAGUGGGUUUGAGGCCAUCUCCAGAUAGAGGAAGCCCUGUAUUAAACAACAAAAGAAUUUCAAUCUGGUUGUAAAAGUGAGAAUGCAUGGGAAGAUCUGAACACGGACCUAGCAUGAGCCAGGCCCUGGCUUCCUUCUCCUCUGCUUUGGAAAGCAACAGAAAUGAUGUGAACCACAUUUACUAGAUGAUUGCUUCGCUCUCGGUGAUGGUGUUGACUUGAAUUAAGGAGGUGGGAGGAAAGAGAGAGAGAGAACAUGAAGCGCACACAAGGCAAAUGGAUGUUGGAAGGAGUGGUGAGGGAAUGGCAUGAGGAAGAAAUACUCUCCUAUCCAGUCUCUCUUAAGGUGACCAAUGUUAGCAGUGUCCCCUAAGGCCCUUCUCACUUUCCUUUAUCCAGUAUCAUAUUCACAUAGUUCUAUAACCAUAACGGAAAGUUUUUCUGCUUUUUAAAUCACUUAUUUAACCACAAUAUUAGUUCUUAACUUCAUGUUUUUACCAGAUUUCUUUUUAUGAUGAUGAAUAAAUAGCUAAUUCCAGCCUUUUCUGUGCUAUCAAAAAAAUUGACUAGUUAACAACAGCAACAAGAACAAAAAAGGUGAAAAAGCUAAUGGUAGAGAAACAGUUAAGUGUGUGUGUGUUCUCUGACAGUGUGGAUGGGUACCGAUACAGUACUUAUAGCUGCCUUUAAGAGUGAUUGGAACGGUGGUUUUCAACCUGUGGGUUGUGACCCCUCUGGGCUCUAGCUACCCCUUUCACAGCAGACGUUGACUAAGACUAUUGGAAAACACAGCUAUUUACAUUAUGAUUCAUAACAGAAGU
rnacentral:lncRNA from 1 species